CAAUAGCGUAAAUUAAAUUUGUUGCGGUUAAAAAGCUCGUAGUUGGAUUUCUGCCGAGGACGACCGGUCCGCCCUGCGGGUGAGUAUCUUGGACGACCUGGGCAUCUUCUUGGAGAACGUGUCUGCACUUGAUUGUGUGGUGCGGUAUCCAGGAUUUUUACUUUGAGGAAAUUAGAAUGUUUCAAACAGCCCCACGCCUUGAAUACAUUAGCAUGGAAUAAUAAGAUAAGACCUCGGUUCUAUUUUGUUGGUUUCUACAGCUGAGGUAAUGAUUAAUAAGGAUAAUUGGGGGCAUUCGUAUUUAAUUGUCAGAGGUGAAAUUCUUGGAUUUGUUAAAGACGGACUAUUGCGAAAGCAUUUGCCAAGGAUGUUUUCAUUGAUCAAGAACGAAAGUUAGGGGAUCGAAGACGAUUAGAUACCAU
rnacentral:rRNA from 1 species